rnacentral:lncRNA from 1 species
AAGCAAACAAGGAACCGAUUCUUUGCUUUCUGUGCUCUUGAGACUUUAAAUAUUUCUCCCCAUCUCAGUUUUGGUGGGAGAUGGGAGGGUAUUACAAGCUAUAAUGCAAUCAUUUGGAUGCUUAACUGCAGACGAGAAGAAUUGGGAAUGCUUUGUAAAAUUUCCCAAAAGAGUGAAAUGCUCUGUCAGGGGUCCAAUGCCCCCAUCCUCUGCUUGGACAAACAUCUCUGUCCAGCUGGGGCUGCCACAACGGACCAGACGGAGGAUGUUUUGGCUUCGGCUUCUUUACCAUGCUGUCAAACCCAAGCCCUCCGACAGCCUGACUCCUCUCACGGGCUAGAACAAACAAGGAGAUUGCAAUUGAAGAGCACGGCUUGGAGGUUCGUCGGAUUCUCUUCGAGGGAACAGAGGACUAACUUAGACUUGGAAGGUCAGAGUGAAGAAAAGCUUUAAUAAGCACCAGUAAAGCGUUACACAUGGCGCUGUUCGGAAGACAGAUAUGGUUCCUGACCUGCGGGGCCCGGGUUCUAAAACACACAGGGACAGCCAUGUCUAGAUUUCAUGCACAGGUCUCUUUUCCCUAGACAGCCUUGAUCCCUGGAAAUGUGGCUUCCAAGUGCCCCAGCAUGGACAGUGCCAGUCUGAGGAAUGAAUCAGCCAGCUCUGCCACCCCCUGCCCUGGGCUGCGGAGCAACCUGAACGUCCCUUUUACGGAACCAAAGUGUGUUUGGUGUUUUUUGCAAGCCUGCUGCUCCUUGCGGAACGGAUGGUCCUGCCCACUUCUGGAUUCCUCGGGCUUUUGGUGGUGCCUGAUGGACACUAGGAAUGCAAUAGAAGACAAAUAAGUGGGAGAUUGGAUAUACCAGGUUAAAAUAGCCCAGUCCCCUAUGGGGUUCCUCCACAUUGACUACAGUUAGGUAAAUUCAAACCCUUAAACUCACAAGGCUUUGAAAACUGUGAUUGCGUGAAUCCUGAUUACAAACCACCUGAGGGAAUCAUUUGGCUCCCUAAGACCAGCUGAGUCUGUGUGCAAUAAAGGAGGAGAGAAACUCUGGAGAAAGGCCCAGGGAGACGGGGGAAACCAAAGAAAUAUUAGGAAGCCCCAUUCUCCAGAAGUGGCCAACAAUUUUCCUCCCACAUACAUUAAAAAGUAUAGUCUAUACUUCGACCAGACAGAAAAAAUAUGGACAUGAUCUGGGACAAAGUCAUCAAAUCUUUGAUCCCCUUGGGCACUCGAUAGAAUAAAUGGUUUUCCACAUCACACAGGAGAAUUUUAAGUGCUUUGGGUCUGUGGAAGUGGGGCAUAGUGGUGGUGACAUCUGUCAAACAAAGAAACCCUCAAAUGCUUUAAUGUGGUGGCUGCUGGAUGAGAGAGGCGCAGAAGUGACCGUCUCCUGUAAGCCAAUGGUUCUGGAAAUGGGGUCUCUGCAGCAGCAGCAGCAUCACCUGGGAGCUUGUUAGAAAGGUGGCUUCUUGGUCCCACCCAGGACUGACUGAAUCUGAAAUUCCAGGAGGGUUGUCCAGCUAUGUGCGUUUUAACAAGCCCUCCCCACGAUUCCAAUGCAGGCUGAAGUCUGAGAACCACUGACAUAAAGCAUUACCUUGCAGUGAGUGACUCGGGGCCAAGAGCCUGACCCAGGGCCACAGCCAUCGAGUGACCUAAAAAAAGUAAGGGAUGACUCAGCUGAGGAGCUGAGCGUGGCCAGGCCGCCUGUCCUGAGAGCCUGAGGGCAUACGCAGCCACAGGGGAUUGCAAAGCUGGUCUAACCCAACCCUAGGUAUCCCAUCUUACCACCAGCCUCUCCCGAUGCCUGUCGUGACUUGACCUACUGUGA